rnacentral:rRNA from 1 species
CCUACGGGUGGCAGCAGUGAGGAAUAUUGGUCAAUGGGCGGAAGCCUGAACCAGCCAAGUAGCGUGCGGGAUGAAGGCCCUACGGGUCGUAAACCGCUUUUGCACGGGGAUAACACCCUCCACUUGUGGAGGUCUGCAGGUACCGUGCGAAUACGGGCCGGCUAAUUCCGUGCCAGCAGCCGCGGUAAUACGGAAGGCCCGAGCGUUAUCCGGAUUCAUUGGGCUUAAAGGGAGCGUAGGCGGGCGUUCACGUCAGCUGUAAAAUCGCGCGGCUCAACGCCGUAGAGCCGUUGAAACUGGGGCUCUUGAGUGAGCGAGAAGUAUGCGGAAUGCGUGGUGUAGCGGUGAAAUGCAUAGAUAUCACGCAGAACCCCGAUUGCGAAGGCAGCAUACCGGCGCUCAACUGACGCUGAGGCACGAAAGUGCGGGUAUCGAACAGGAUUAGAUACCCGGGUAGUC